AAAACAUCGAUUGAAAAAGAAGCACGACCCGAGUUAUGUGUUUAGUUUCGAGUGGCUUGAACGCGACCGAAAGUAGCGGCAGGUUGCCAGUCACCGUCACACGGUACAUCGUUCGUUUUUGUGUUAAUUUCCUUGUAAUUAACGUGUUCGAAUCUACCACUACUCGUCGGUCGCAUGGACGAGUGGUCCUUGACCGGAAAACUCAAUGGCAUGCAAGAAUACAAAAACAUCAGAGGUAACUUCCCCUUUGAGAAUUUCCGAGGACUUACGGAAUUUGCAUGGAACAAUCGAUGCGUUGUCACGGGCACAACGAGUGGAUCCGAGGUGGACGUUAUGCUGCGCACAAGCGACGCGCUUUCAACUAUUCUCGGGCGAGAGUAAAACGAAAGUAAAAACGGGUGAGCAGAAGCAGAGAUCGAGUCGUCGUAGCUUUUUGCACUAUCGCCCGGGACAACGACCGAUCUUCGCGAAUCGAAAUCGGAUCGGAAUUCAUGGACGCAGAAGUUACUUCAGCGGACCAUUUCCUGGCACAAAUGUUACGCAAUGGCAACGGUGCGUCAUAGCCAAGCAUGCACUCACUCUUGAGCGAUCGCAGCUAGGUAUUUUUUCCUCCGCCCCUCCGCUACUGUGCAACACAUCUCCAACAGGCUGGCUGUUUAACUGACUGAUUGACUGACUGACUGACUGACUGACUGAACCGUGCUUGCCUACCUGCGUACCUAACUACCUACUUAUCCACCUACUUACCGGGCAAGAGGUGGUAAAUCGGGAACGUCGUCCGCAGGAGAACGUUUCCGAAUAAGGUCAGAGUUACGAGAGGAAAGGUGGGCGCGCGGAAUCGAGCAGGUAGGUAGCCAAGAAAACCAGUACCGAACAACGCGCAAAUACGCAGUACCGUUCGCCGUAAUAUCCUGGAAUUCAUUACCGAAGUCAAAAUAGGUUGAUUGAAACUAAUUAACCAUCAAUAUAAUCGAUGAUGGGGCCGUAUUCGUAUGUAUUUACUGUUUCUUUUAUUCUUCCCUUCCAAAGGGAAAAAAAUAUCAAAGGGAAUCAGUAUCAAAUCACUAUCAAAAGAAAUUUCUCUUACACUGCGAAACUGUGGCCAAUUGAUCGUUUUUUAAUCAAUGCGAAAAUCUUUCAUCUAUUUAUGGGGCUGCAUGGUUCGUUCGGAAAUGUAUAUACGAACCAGAGAACGAAGGCUUUGAAGAAGGAGAAACAAGUAGGUAAUGGAACAGGGGUCAGUUAAAGAGAGGGGUGAGUAAUGCCGCACCUCGGUAGGCGCCGUACUUCGUCGUCGCUCGAUUUCGAAACGAACCGGGGUCGAAGAGCUAACUAACAUAGGAAGAAAAUAAGGCUCGAUAACCCUCGAAAUACCAAUCGAGUUAUACUCGCCGCUUACGAACACAGGCCGCUUCAACCUUGCCUCUCUUCUCCUUUCUCCUUGACUCCUGACUUUGCAUACGCGGCCAACGUAACGAGAAAGCAAUGCAAGGAAUGUAUCACUGCUCGAUUUAUCAUUGA